UGAAUACAAAGUGCUUCUCCUCCACGACGCGCCAGUUCCAGCCGACUGAACCCAUCAGCACACAGGCAGGUCAUGCCAGGGGGUGACGAGAGCUCAGAAGACUGUCAGCCAAGCUGGUCUAGACAGCCUCCCCAGGCAGACCCUCUGCUUGGGGGAGCGGGGCUGCAGCAGAGAAGUGAAUGAGGAGAGCGCACAGAGCCGGGGACCUGCUCCUGUGGAGUCCAGGCCAGCGGACCAGGCUGCGUGGAGUCGGCUGGGACUGGGAGCCAGGCAGACGGAGGGGUUCACCGCCCCGGGAGUGAACGCGGAGAGAGGGGAGGAGGUGGAUCGCUCCAGGUCUGCCCACACUGACCCUGCAAGGGGCAGCCUGGGGGCCAGUGAGAGACUGCGGGGGAGCAGCCUGUGGGCAUCCAGGGGAGAGGGUGUCUGCACCCCGCCACCAAGAAAAUUAAAGACGCAACUUCCAUGAGGUAGUGCAGCGGUUCUCAAAGAGGGGUGGUUUUGUACCCCCCACCUCCACCCGGGGGAUGUGAGCAAGGUCUGGAGAGAGGUUUGGCGUUCACAACAGUGACACAGGGUGAGGGGCUACUGGCAUCUGGAAUACAGACUGGGGGUUGCUGUUUAAUAUCCUGAGGUGCACAGGAAGGCCCCCCACCACCGCUCUCCCGAAUUACCCAGGCCCAGGGUUGCUGAAGUCGAAGCUCCAAUACUUUGGCCACUUGAUGCGAAGAGCCAACUCACUGGAAAAGACCGUGAUGCUGGGAAAGAGUGAGGGUAGGAGGAGAAGGGGACAACAGAGGAUGAGAUGGUUGGAUGGUGUCACCGACUCAAUGGACAUGAGUUUGAGCGAACUCUGGGAGAUGGUGGUGGACAGGGAGGCCUGGCGGGCUGCAGUCCCUGGGUCACAGAGAGUUGGACACGACUCAGCAACUACACAAGAGAGCAGCUGGUGAGGCUGGGAACCCCUGACGUGGAGUGAGAAUUUGCAGCGUGUGAGGUUGGCGCCCAGUGUCCCUCAGAGCAGGGCCCCCCUGGGACCCAGGCCUAGAGACAGGUUCACAGGGGCUUGAAGACACUUCCCGGGAUGGGACCGAGGACAGCAAGGGGCAGUGUCAUGUCAAACCUCGAGUGGGGCUCACCAGACCUCGUAUUUAAUAACCGAAGAUGAUGGUGAAGCAGUGUUGAACACACAUGCUUUAGUUUAGCAGCGGUUCCGGUUAUAUUAGCAGGGAUGGUCCCUUUAAACAGUGGCAAGGAGGGUGCUAAGAGCACGGGGGUCACGGGGAUCCCAGGCAUGACAGAAACAGGUCAUUCCCAGAGUCGGUCCUCCGAGCGCUCAAGGAUACAGGCCAGGCCAGCGGGGACCGCGAGGACCAAACCUCAGCUCAGAGCACAGACUCUGAAGAGGGCGGGAGGGAAGGCACCAUCUCUGUCUCCAUAAACCAGUGGAACAUGGUUUGCAACAAAUAUUGGGGCAGAGGGUUUUAUGUACCUGCUGGACCUACGGAGGUGCCGGCAGGACUCCAGUGUGAGGACUGAGCCAGCAGUGGAGGUGUGAAGGGCCGGGAGGAAAAGGGAGGCGCCCGGCAGCACGUUCAGUUGGCAGGACAGCCUCCCUGGGACCCUGGGGAAGCUGCGUCUCCGCACCGGCUUUGAUUCCCAUGAAGCUGAAAAAGGAAGCCUGUCUCAAAAGGAGCACCGCUACCUGCAGACCCUGCCCACCAGAGACCCUUCCCUCCUUCGGAUCUGCCUGAAAGGAUCAGGGGUCAGAAGGUGCCACGGGUGACCUGCGGUGACCUCUGUCUUCCCUUUCUCACCGUGGGGCCAGCCUUGCUGUCACCGGUGCUGGGACCCACCAGCAGCCUUGAAGGGCUAACAGGGAAGGCUAUCCUUAUCCAGAAAUGCCCUGGUGGGUUUGCCCUGGUGACUCAGAUGGCAAAGAAUCUGCCUGCAGUGCAGGAGACCCGGGUUCGACCCCUGGGUCAGGAGGAUCCCCUGGAGGAGGAGAUGGCCACCCACUCCAGUAUUCUUGCCUGGAGAAUCCCAUGGACAGAAAAGCCUGGAGAGCUACAGUCCAUGGGGUCGCAGAGAAUAGGACACGACUGAGCGACUAUCAUGACAGAGAACGGCCUCAACAGAGCUCCCUCGUUCUUGGACUGAGUGGUGGCUCUGAGACAGAGAUAGGUCCCCAGGCUUCUUCCAGGAGAGAGCGCUUUGCUUCAGGUGACAUGUGGAGGGCCGGGCGGAGCAGCUGCUGCAGCCUGCCAGGUCUCCCCUCCACAGGCCUCCUCCGAGCCAUCCUCUCAGUGUGGCCCGGACCCCCAGGCUUCAGGGUUCAUCUCUGCCGGGUCGGAUUUGAGCCAGAGUCCUGUUCAGUCACUUGGACCAGAAGGCCCCACCCUGGGUAUGGGACCCUGGAGACUUCUGAUCAUGUUCCCCAUCUUCCAUGUCCCCUACGAGAGGUCUGACCACCCUGCCUGCCUGCAGCAAGAGUCCUGUCAGGAUGGUUUAGCCAGGACCCCCGCCCCCACCCCCCGAGGCUGGAUGUUUUCUCUUAGAAUCGUUCCACCCCCUGACCGCCCCCUCCCGCACCACCCUGCACCGUGGCUGCAAAUCUCCACCUUCCCUCGUGGUCGCUGGCGCGGAGCCCAAGCCCUCUCUCCUGCUGCAAAACCCCGGCAGGGCUCCCUACAGCUGUCACCAGGGCAUAAAUAAAGGCUUUGCUGUUCUUUCUCAAGUGUCGGAAAUAA